UGCAGUCCUCACAGGAGCCAGAAGACAGCAUCUGGAUGAAGUGGAAGUUUCCGGUUUCUUUGAAGACUCAGUUUUGUCAUGCGAGCUGGGCACAUGAUGUUUGGCUGUGAGCUUUCUCAACCGAGGGGCGUGUGUGACUUUGGCCAGCUGUGGGUAGACUCUGAGGGGAGGCGAUAUAGAGAGGCCCACAGACAGUGAGGCUUUGAUUUUUAAAUUGACAUUGCUGUGCUGAUCUUCCUGCUUUGACACACGACUUUGCAGAGAGAAGCAUUCCAGAACUUCUCGGGACAAUCCAACUCAGUCUUGCAGCUUUUUACUGACCACGUGUUGCUGCUUGGUGUUGGCCUUUGGACUGGACUGCUGGUAUCCUGACGAAUGAGUGUGGACUACUCAACAAACCACAACCACAACAACCAAUAACCAGUGGCAACCAGCAGCCUCCGACCACCAACCUGCAACCCACAUAUCGGGGCUCUAGCAUUUAUACACCCUUUGAAAAUUUCUCAGAAUUCCUAAUGUCACACACUCGCAGAAACUAUCAAAGCCAGAUCAACUGUCAAAGCCAUGCCUCCGAUGAAACACAAGGCAAAUCAUAGUUGCUGUGGACAGUCUUAAGCAUCCCAUUCCCCACACCUGGGAUUAAAAUGAAAGCAUAUCCUUGUAA